rnacentral:rRNA from 1 species
UGGGGAAUAUUGGACAAUGGGCGAAAGCCUGAUCCAGCCAUGCCGCGUGAGUGACGAAGGUCUUCGGAUUGUAAAGCUCUUUUGCCAGGGACGCGGUACCUGGAGAAUAAGCCCCGGCUAACUUCGUGCCAGCAGCCGCGGUAAUACGAAGGGGGCUAGCGUUGUUCGGAAUUACUGGGCGUAAAGCGCACGUAGGCGGAUUUGUUAGUCAGGGGUGAAAUCCCGGGGCUCAACCUCGGAACUGCCUUUGAUACUGCAAGUCUCGAGUCCGAUAGAGGUGAGUGGAAUUCCUAGUGUAGAGGUGAAAUUCGUAGAUAUUAGGAAGAACACCAGUGGCGAAGGCGGCUCACUGGAUCGGUACUGACGCUGAGGUGCGAAAGCGUGGGGAGCAAACAGGAUUAGAUACCCCUGUAGU